GUUAAUUUUUUGUUCUUGUUCUUAUUAGUGUUAAACAGUUUUUUUAUAUCUAGUUGUUUUCAUUUGUAUUUAGUGAGUUUUGUUUAAAUUUUUAAUUUCCGAAAAAUUUUUUUCCGAAAAAAGAAGAAAAAUUUGACAUAUUGGAAUGUUAUAUUACAUAUAAUAGGAAUGCAAAUCUUGCAGUCGCCAGAUAUUUGGAACUGUAUCCUGAAAGACAACAGCCAGGUCCAAGACUAUUCGCUAGACUUGUCAUGAACCUUAAAACUCAUGAAGUUUUAAAAUACUAACGCUAGAAAAUUAUCAAAGGGACAAUGAAGCUCGCGAUGAACACAUUUUAGACCAUUUUAAUACAAACCCGAAAACAUCAACCCGAAAAGCUGCAACUUUAUAUGAUAUACUAUAUAUAGAUAUUGUAACGAAAUUCGGGAACACACUUUUAUUGUCAACGUCAAAAGCACUAACCUAACUCGCUUUGACUGUCGUUUAAUUGUUUCCAAGGUAAAAACUGACUAAACAAUUAAAACUGAAUGAUUUGUCACGAAGCGCGUCCUUUUUAAAACCCGAUGGAACAGUUUCGAAAUAUUUAGAAUUAUCUUCAUUGUUUUUGCCCAAAGAGACCAAUAAUUUUAGGAGAAUACUGACAGUCAAAGCAAGCAAGUAUACAAAUUCUAGAAAAUUAGAACUACAGGGAUUUACAAUAAUAUAACCUAAAUAACCUAAAUUGGGGCCAAAAUGGGGCUCUCAAACAAGAUGAACUACCUAAAAACUAAACACUAUAGAUGAAAAUAAUAAACCAAACGUUAAAGAGAUACAGACUACUCAAGACGAUUAGAAUUUUCAAACUGGUUUAUAAGGCAAUUUCAAGAAAUACCUAAUUCCAACAGGAAAAUUAUUUGGACCAACGAGACGUUUUUUAGCAACUGCGGUGUAUUCAACAGGGAUAAUCCGUCAUUUUUGGGCUGCUGAGAAUCCUUAUGAAGUGGCUGAACGUAGGCUACAAGUAAGAUUUGGAUUUAAUGUAUGUUGUGAUAUAUACGAUAAUCACCGUAUUGAGCCCUUUAUUUAUAAUCAAACACUGACAGGUCAAAGAUAUUUAAAUCUUUUGAAAGAGCAGAUAAUACCUGCCGUGAGAGCUAAAAUACCUGAAGAACAAAUAUAAAGUGAUGUGUGGUUUCAACAGGACGGAUGUCCCGCGCAUAAUACUCGGGACGUUCAAAACUUGUUAACACAAGCUUUUAACAAUAAGCUUAUCGCGAACCGCGGUGCUGUAAAUUGGCCAGCUAGGUCUCCAGAUAUUACGCCUCUGGAUUUUUAUCUUUUGGGAUAUGUUAAAAAUGAAGUUUACGAGUUUGAAUCUCCUACGACUCUCGAACAACUAGAGGACAGGGUUUGGAAUGUCUUAAAUAAUAUAAAUAGAAAAACCCUGCGUAAG